UUCUGCCCCAAUUUGCAAUAAAAUGCAGCCAGGGGAGAGAAAUCCCUCGGCCUUUCUCUUGUCCUGCAAAAUGUGAGAGUGGGAACAAUUAAUUCUGCUGAAAAAAAUUAGGUUUUGCCAAUAUUUGGCCUGCAAAGAUGGGAAAAGAGACACAGCUAGUGCUCCCUCAGCAAAAUUCAUCUGAUCUUUCUUCACUGGCAGAGGGAGGUUUUAAGUAAAUAAUUUCUCAGGAUGCAAACAGAUACCAUGAGCUGGCCGGGAUAAAAUAGGUCCAUCCUUUCUAUGCUCAGAGGUCCCAACCCCACCUCUCGUCUCCGUGUCCUCUUCCAGCAUCCGAGCAGGUGAACACGCUCGUCUCCGAUGCCUUCGUGCAAUUCUUCGUCCGAAUGGUUGGCCACUACUCCUCACACAUCAAAUGGAGCAAAAACGGCUCGGGCACCUUCCAGGAGCGAGCCUUCUGCAAAGCCAUCACCUCCAAGACCAACCGCAAGUUCGUGAAGAAGUUUGUGAAGACGAACAUGUUUUCCCUAUUUAUUGAGGAAGCAGAAAAGAGCAGGAUCCCACAGGAAGCCUAUUUCCAGCGGAAAAUAACAGAGUACCACGAACAGAAGAAGCACCGAAGGGACUCCUGAAGCCCAGCCUGAGAAGGGGGCAGCAGGUCUGGGACCCAGCAGGACCCCAUUGGCAGCACCGCGCUGCGCAGACCCCUGCGCCCCGUCCGAGGGCAGAGCUCCCUGGACUCUGCUGGAUCUGCCCGACGGUUCCUACCCCUCACCAGAUACCUGGGCAGCACCCAACGCCGGUUUCUGCCAUUUCUUUGUUCCUCAGGGUGUCAUUGCACUGGAAAACUCUUCUGCACGGAGUUUCACAGCAAAAUGGCUGUGGUUUCUUUGCCGGUCUCGCAGGAGGGACAAACUGCGGGUCCCGGGUCUUUGUCCCCAGCAGGAGCUCAGGCAGCGAGGGAGGGAGGGCGAGGAGCUGGCACAGGACAAGAAAAGGGUGUAGAGUAAUUGUUAGAGGGGGAAAAAAAAAAAAGAGAGAGAUGAGUAGGAAAUAGUGUUAUUUGUAAUUAAAACAAAGCUAGGUUUAGCAAAUAAGUGACGUCCUAUCGAAUAAGUUUUCUGAGGUUUCUAUUAUUAACAACUCUUUACUGUUUCUCUUUAUUUUCUAUCUCAUUGUUAAACACCAGCAGGAACAGUUGCGGUGGACUUUAGCGGUUUCCUCUACAGCAGCUGUCUGCUCCGUUGGUACUAUUUAGAGGCCGGUUCAGCUCUUUAAAGAAACAAAAAUACUCUUUUCCAACAGGUUAUUUAUUUGUGCUGUAAGCAAACUGUGAAGGCCACAGGGCUGCGUUUUGUAGUAGAGGGAAACGGCUGAUCAACAGCUUUGGGGCGGGAGGAAGUAUUUGUUAAAUCCAGUAGUAAAACAUGCCGACAUCCUCCUCGUUUCUGGUUUUGAUGCCAACUUCUUUAAAAACCCUGCAGCUCAUUGAAGCGCUGUCUCCGAAAAGCGAUACCUGCAGCGGAUUUAGAGCUAAAUGAUGGUUUUCCCCCUUUCCUAAUGCAGUCAGCCAGGGAAUAAAUACGGCAGCAGGGAGAGCUGGCGCUGGCUG
ensembl:lncRNA